GUAGGUGGACCUGCGGAGGGAUCAUUACCGAGUGAGGGCCCUCGCGCCCGACCUCCAACCCUUUGUCGAUUCAUAUCUGUUGCCUCGGGGGGCGACCCGGCCGUCCGCGGAUCCGGCGGCCCCCAGAGGGCCAAUCAACUCUGCAUCUUUGCGUCGAGUAUUGAAUACAAAUCAAUCAAAACUUUUAACAACGGAUCUCUUGGUUCUG
rnacentral:misc_RNA from 1 species